UAAGCUUUACGGUUAUUUUAUGUUUUUAUACUAAUUUUUAACUAAUUAUGCUUCCAUUGUUAAUCAUCUUUUAUGUUCAUUAAUAGUUCCUGUGUUAAGUGUGAUUUGGAAAAGUUUUAUCCAAUGGAUUUCACAUUCUGAAGUUUGAGGACUUUAUUUUGAAAUUGUUCAUGGUUCUCACAAGCAUGUUGUAGUUGAAAGUCACCAAGAAGAGCUCACCAUGAAGGAAACAUGAAAAAUGUCUAACUCAAUGAAAGUAAAUGUCAUUUAUUAUCAUAAUGACGAUCAAGAUAUAACCGAUAACCAAGUUAGAUGAUGCCACCGACAUGUUCCCAAUGUUAAAAGUUAAAAGUAAUUAUCUCAAUCGUAUUCUGUUUACCUGAUUGUUAUUUUAUUACCUUAGGUCCUGACUACUUUACUAACUAGAAUCACACGGUUUAAAGCCAAAGAAAGAAAAAGAAACCUAAAGCGUUGUCAAAGUCAAGCCUUUUUUGGCAAAAAUGUAUGGCAAUUGUGGAAAUCUUAUCGGCAAAAGUAAACAACUUUGUCCAAUAAAGUCUAAACAAGAACAAUGUUCUGUUACCCGUUAGCAAAAUAAAGCUUAUCUUUAAAGCGUGGAGAAAAAUCUUGUAUCUGGUUAACGAAAUUAAACAACAAGGAAACAAGAAGCACUUCGUCUUGUUGUGACAGUCAUGUUUCAUUUUUUGACUCUUGAUUAUUCCAACACGUCUAUUUCAACCUGAUUACCAUCUGAUAAAAAGUUGCUACAUUGAAAUUUUGGUUUUACCCUUUGAUUCAAGCAAUUUGCUACGUUGUAUCCGAUUAGAUAUUGACUGAAACAAUUGUGCAAACAUAAGGAGAAGGUGAAGAGGAUUUAAUCUCGGUUGUCAACAAGAACUUGAAUCAAAAGCAAACCAGAUUAACUCUUAUUGAAUGUGAAAUCAAAAUUAUCGAUGUAACAAAUCAUUUGGUCGAUAAAGUGCGGAGGCAUGAAAAUGCAUUAGCAUUCAAACACCAAUCAUACCAAAAUUGAAUGAUUACUUAGCUGACGAUGAUCAUGAAGAUGAUACCAAACAAAGUGGAAGAGUUAAUAAUUUUCAACAUCUUCACAAUGAUUAUUAAUAGAAAUCUUGAAAAUAUUGACUUACUUUUGUCUUUUCAGUGCUAAGUCUUUUCACUUGACAAGUUCAAAAAACUAAAUUGUAAAAGUUGUUCAAAAAAAGGAAAUGAAAUGAUGUUAACCGAUGUUUUCUGACUCUACUUACUUUCUGUAUUAAUUGUUGAUGAAACAGGAAUCAGGUUAAGAAUCAUGUAACAUUGCUAAUUGAUAAUCCUGUAUUUGAAGAGGGAUUAAAUUAACGAUUUAGAAGCGAAUUAAUUAGAUUAAA